rnacentral:rRNA from 1 species
CCUGCCCAAGAGAUCGGGAUAACACCUGGAAACAGAUGCUAAUACCGGAUAAUAACAGAUGAUGCCUAUCAACUGUUUAAAAGAUGGUUCUGCUAUCACUCUUGGAUGGACCUGCGGUGCAUUAGCUAGUUGGUAGGGUAACGGCCUACCAAGGCGAUGAUGCAUAGCCGAGUUGAGAGACUGAUCGGCCACAUUGGGACUGAGACACGGCCCAAACUCCUACGGGAGGCAGCAGCA